GGAAUGUGACUCUGUGGUAGAGCAUGUGCCUAACAUGUACAAGGCCCUGGGUUCCAUUCCCAGCACCA
rfam:Ictidomys tridecemlineatus contig082072, whole genome shotgun sequence.